CAGCAGCCGCGGGAAUACAGAGGGUGCGAGCGUUAAUCGGAUUUACUGGGCGUAAAGCGUGCGUAGGCGGCUUUUUAAGUCGGAUGUGAAAUCCCUGAGCUUAACUUAGGAAUUGCAUUCGAUACUGGGAAGCUAGAGUAUGGGAGAGGAUGGUAGAAUUCCAGGUGUAGCGGUGAAAUGCGUAGAGAUCUGGAGGAAUACCGAUGGCGAAGGCAGCCAUCUGGCCUAAUACUGACGCUGAGGUACGAAAGCAUGGGGAGCAAACAGGAUUAGAUACCCGCGUAGUCCCUGUCUCUUAUAA
rnacentral:rRNA from 1 species